UCAUAGACGUGGUCAUCGGGGUAUCU
rnacentral:misc_RNA from 1 species